rnacentral:lncRNA from 1 species
GGCACCAUGAAAAAAGAUAGAGAAAUUGAAGCACAACACAUACACAAAUUAAAAAUAUCAAUAUAUUUAUUAUAUAGAAGAGUGUAGGAUACGUAUGCAUUACAAUAAACAAAUACCAAUAUUAUUGGUGCAACAUAAUAUCAUUCAUAUCAAUUUGAGUAUAGACAACACAACUGUGGAGAAAAUCUUGUGAAUGAUAUUACAUUUUUCAAUCUGUCAAUGUAAACUACAGGUAUUGCUAAGUAAAAUCUUCUUCGCUGCUUGAUCCAACCGAAGAAUUCAGCUGCAACUCAAUUAUCCUUCUUUUCAAUCUGUAAAAGAAAAUUGAACCUUACAGAUAUGUGAUUAAAUGUAUACAAAUAUAAAUUCGAAAUAUGAAAGAAAAAAUACUUUAACUUACAAAAGCUCAAGGCCAUAUAAUUAAGUAUCCUGAAGCAAAGGCGUCGCCAAUUCUCUACAAUCCAAAACUUCCCUUGCUAACUCCUCAUUAUCCAGAAUAGGUUCAUCCAUGGCAAAGUUAUAAAGAAUAUAAACAUUCUAUAGGAACUAUCAAUGAGCGCGUCCAUAUGACUACAUAAACAUAUACCUGGAAACUAGUAGCCAGCAUUACAAUGCCUUUAAGCAACAUGGAACUGUUAUUCAUAAACCCUUGAGGCAUCGACACUAACUGAGCUCCCCGCAAACAUUCUGUAAGAGUAGAAUGAUAAAUAACAUGAGAUAGAAAUAGAUGUACAGCCACAUGCUACAAACUAUAAGCAUGCAGUAUAACCAAAUAUUCAACAGAUUUGGAAUUUAAUGUAUAACCUAUUUUGCACAUAAUGUAAGGACAUGUACUUGGUAAAAGUUCAUGGUAUCUUACAUUUACCUAAAUAACAAAGUAACCAGGAUGGGUACUUGGUAAACGGUGAUGCUAUCACCCAUUGGAUUAUAUCAAACUAGCAGAUGAGAUUGAGAUACAAGAAAUAUAAGAAUUAAAAUGGAAAUGAACAGACAAGCUUCUGCUGUAUUUUCAUAUAGUGAUAAUUGGGAUAUACUACACCAAAAUGAUCGUACAUCUACUGCUGUACGGCCUGCAGAACCCUUACCAGGAAAAGCACUAUGUAUUACACCUAAAUUCCCUGUCAGUAAAGUAGAUAUCAAUAUUGUUGCAUGGCCUGCGGAACCCUUACCAGGAAAAGCACUAUGUAUUAUGCCUAAAGUCCCUGUCAGUAAAGUAGAUAUCCAUAGUGCUCUGCACAAUCUCUGCUAUCCAAUCCAGGACGCCAUCUUCUCCAACAUUGCCUCUGCAUUAAUUCAUGGAAUGACAUGAGCGCAUAAGUAUAUCGAGUAGAAGAGUAAACUCAUCAACAGAACUCAAAGUAAUGAUACAAACUUUCUGAUAGGUAUGCAUGGGCUAGCCUGAAUCUGUGAUACUUGCCUACUUGAAAGAUAUGUGCUAGGCUACGCUGAAUCUGUGAUACUUACUUUCCUGAAAUAUAUGUGCUAGGCUAGACCGAAUCCGUCCCGGAUUAUUAUCACUAGACGAUAUAGAAAGACACAUACAACAUUGAUUUGCGCUAAAAAUCAAUUGCAUGCCCAAUUAAUUUAAUUCUGAAAUUGCUAAUUGGCUGGGAACAACAAGUAGCCAAGCAGCAAUCAUUCAUGGGUAUUGGGUAGAAAGCAGCAGCAGCGCAAGUAUUUAGUCAAGUGAGCAGCCGAACACAAGAUCUGUGAGCCACCCACAGCAGACUCGUUGUAAAUCUGGGGAGAGCUUGCAAAAACUGAGUACAGUACACCUAGUAAAUUUCCACAAGAUUCCAUAAAAGCAUGCACCCACGGUUUGAUGUUCCAAGAGAUGUCACAGUAUUCAGUCAGCUAUCUUCAGGUAAUGACAAUGUCCACCGUAGGCCUUUCAGGAUUUUUACAUUAUUCAAUCGGGUCCUGCUUAACAGGGAUAAGUACUAGUGUUACUAACAGAACAAUAAGUUGAGAAAUGCAUAGCUAGCUCAUGCGUGUGAAUCCUAAUUCUAAGCUGUCUUUCACUGGACAGUCUGGUCAGGUGAGGUGCAUGCAUGUACAUACCCUGAUCAUGAACGACAUGCAGAGAUAGAAACAGGUUUCCACUGGGCGCCGAGAUAGCAUCGACAUUGUAUCUUACACACCCUAAAUUAGCUGCCAUUGUAGUUAGCUGCCAAUAUUCAAAUCAUGUGUUCCUGGUUAGAUAAUCAGGCGCCUGUUUACAGAACAGGAAAUCUUAUAAGUACAGGGCACCUAAAACUAGAUGAACGCAAUCUAAUUCAUCAGUAUAAGCACUUGUUUACAAAACAUGCCAUCUUUAAAAUUUAUAGAAUAAUUCCACUUGACCAAUGCGCUCCACUAAGUUCACACCUGACGCACAAGAAACUAGUACUGUACAUAGUAGUAGAACACACACACCCCAGAGUACCACUUAAUCUCAAAAUCACAAAGCAAUAACAUCAGUGGCGGAGCUAGCCCAGAUCUUUUGGGGGGGUGAAUCACAAAAUAUUGAUGUUUGGGGGCCCAAAAACUAUAUUUUUCUAAUUUGAGGACCCUAAAUAUUUUUCCUUCACAAUAUUGACCAAGGUUGGGGGGCCAUGGCACCUGCAGGUCCAGCCGUAGCUCCGCCGGUGAAUAACAUACAGCUCUUGACCAGUUCGACUGCACAAGCCGAUGACUCCCUCACAAGCAUUCAAUCAAACGAGCAGCCGAGCGCAAGAUGGGGUAGCGGGCAGCAGCAGCCUGCAACUCGAUGGAUGAACUCCAAAUCACAGAGAUGAAGACAUGAGAGGAUGAUGGGUUUGGGGUUACCUGGCGUCUGGAGGAGAGGAUGCUGGGGACAGAGGUCGCCGG